rnacentral:rRNA from 1 species
UACGUAGGGUCCGAGCGUUGUCCGGAAUUACUGGGCGUAAAGAGCUCGUAGGUGGUUUGUCGCGUUGUCCGUGAAAACUCACAGCUCAACUGUGGGCGUGCGGGCGAUACGGGCAGGCUAGAGUUCGGUAGGGGAGACUGGAAUUCUCGGUGUAGCGGUGAAAUGCGUAGAUAUCGAGAGGAACACCUGCGGCGAAGGCGGGUUGCUGGGCUGAUACUGACGCUGAGGCGCGAAAGCCAGGGGAGCGAACGGG